GUUUCAAUUGCAAUAAUCUGCGGAAGGAGAUAUAGAUUGUGUUCCAUCUUACAUCGGUAAAUGAACACUUAAACUUGAAGUGUUAAAAAGGUUACGUGAUGUUUCUCUUUGGUAAGGUUCAACAUUUCCUGUAACAUUUGCAGUUGAUAUGAUACCGAUCGGAGAUAAUAGUAGUGAUAUCAUAUUCAUGCAUAAUAGAGCUUUUAUCCAACAGUGUUAGUAUCAUUGACUCUUUUCUCCAGUCCUCUUAGUUGCUCUCCACUAAUCUCUUACAAGAAUUUAUCUAUCCACCCAUGCAUGAUGAAAUGAUCUCUGAUCCAAAAUGACCUUUACAAUCAUACCCUUUAGUCAUAUGCAUUAGUGAGAGUACAAUGAACAGCUAUCUUUUUUUGGAGGAAUUAACAGCAGGAGAGGCUCUUACUGCACUUUAAUAUUAAAAUGAAAAAUAUUUACAUAGUAACUUUACAAGCUUACCAUGGUCGGGCCAUGGUUACCAUAACUUAUUUUCUAGACUCUCAAAAUAGCUAUGAAAGUAGUGAUAUGCUCUCUUAGUUUAGGCUUGACCCUACAGGAAAGUAGGUCAGCUUCGGCAAAAAAAUUAGCUAGCCAGUUCAGGUCCUGAACAAUAUAGUAAUGCCUCCCUACAACGGUCAGAGAGGUUGCACACUCAGCUCCGUUCAAGCAACAAGCACCGCAAGCUUCCUUCAUUGUACCCAACAUCAGUUCAGAGCAUUGCAUGACAGAUUUUCUCAAGCUUCACUUCUACAAGAUUUACAUGAAAGUUCAGAGGCAGAUAUCCAAGUUGUCUCUUAUGAUCUGUACUCCAUACAGUUCAUUUAUAUUUCUUAUGAGUUUUACUCCAUAGCCCAUAUAGUUUAACACACGGACGGACUGUUUUCAAGUGAAUUGGAAAAAUACUUGCAUUUGCUCUGCAAUAUUGUUGUGGCAAUUUUUUUCUUUGUACACACAUGGAUGUCAAAGAAUUAACAACUGGAUAUGAACGUAAUUUUCACUUCUCUGUGUCAAAUCAUCCAAACCUUUUCCUACCUUCAGGUUCAUAUGCUAACAAUUUUUUUCGCAGUACUCACGAUUUCUUCGGUCGACCCUUAAGGGAACUUUCAACUGACAUCAUUUACUUGAACACCAUAACCAACACUGACAUCCAUAGGAUACAAUUUAAGAAUAUACCUACAAUACUUCUGCAAACAAUGAUAUGCCAUUUUUGCCCUUGGCCACGCUCCAGAUGUAGGGGCCAAGCUAGGUAUGCACCCUUCAGCUGGAUUGAACCUUCGGCUUCUGUUUGGUUUCCUUUGAUUGUAUUACUUGUUGUGAAUCUUUUCCCCUGGUGGCCCACCCGUGUAUUUGUUUGCCAUAUUCAUUGAAUCCUCCUAUCUGAAGGUCUCCAUCGAAGGUAACACUGCCAUGGUCUCCUGCCGGUGAAUGGGAAGAGCUCACAGCCCCCAUCAGCGGUGUGCAGAAAGACCAUAUGCGUGGGCUUUUUUUCGGAGUACAUGUCUCUGCAAUAAGUGUUGUUCAUUAUAUUUUGUGUUGCACAUAUUACCCUGGGGUGUAUCGUUUGGCUGCUGCCUGUUGCAGAGCUAAAGCCAGGAUGAAACCUAUUACUUUUCUGUCUUAUGAAGCUAAACAAAAGCUUUGAACUUUUUCACUGAAUAUUCAAUCUUUAUGCCUUAGUUACAUAGUACAAACUAUAUACCGUCCAAUGUAAGGUGGUCCUUUUUACCUCUUGGUACAUUUAUAUAGUUCUUUUGCAUCUAUGUAUAAUUUCAUGGGUACAUUUAUAUAGGCUUCUGCAUCAUUUUUAUAAUGCCAUCUCAUCACCAUGGCACACGUUUUUGCAAUAUCAGGUGAUCUAUUGUUCAUAAUGGCGCAACCCAAAUCAUCACCAGUAUGUUGUUCAUAUCAUCUAUGUGGACGGUUCUCGCAGCAUCGACAUUACAAUUGAAUGCAGUAUCCUUCUUUUGGGGGUUUGCAUCUGCAUGAUCUGGUUAAAUGUUGAGGAGAAGCCUAGCUACAUGUUGUGGCAGCUAGGUUGAAGAAGCCACGUGUACAUGCCAUGAUUGCAGAUGAUAUUGGGAUGCCCAUUACAGUGGGUGCUACGUGCAAUGCAAUUCAUCACUCAUCAGAUAAUUUGCUACUUUAUGCUACCUUGGCAAUGAACCAUUUUCUACAUAUUUUAUGUUUACAUUAGCUUUGUUUGGAGACAAGCAAGCAAAUUGUUUAUUGAAUGACUUCGAGCAGACCAAAGUGAAGAUGGUGUAUGGUUCUUAACCUGCAAACCUGGAAGAUAAAUCACUUUCAUGGUUAGGUAUAAAGUUCUUUCGAAAAAAGGGUAUAAAGUUAACCUUUUGCUCCAAUAGCAAAUGAUUUUAUGGACUUCAUUAGUAGGCAAGAGUGUAUGUCUGUUACUACUUGAGGUGUUCGGAAGCGUUUUUCUAUCUUCCAUCCUCAAAAGAACACACCGAGGAAAGUUAGAUACUAUUCAAAAACAUAUUUAUGCCACUUGAAUAAAAGAUCAUGAAUUGUCUUGCAAAA